rnacentral:rRNA from 1 species
UACAGAGGGUGCAAACGUUGCUCGGAAUCAUUGGGCGUAAAGCGCACGUAGGCGGCUUUGUAAGUUAGAGGUGAAAGCCUGGGGCUCAACUCCAGAAUUGCCUUUAAGACUGCAUCGCUUGAAUCAUGGAGAGGCGGGUGGAAUUCCGAGUGUAGAGGUGAAAUUCGUAGAUAUUCGGAAGAACACCAGUGGCGAAGGCGGCCCGCUGGACAUGUAUUGACGCUGAGGUGCGAAAGCGUGGGGAGCAAACAGG